rnacentral:lncRNA from 1 species
UUUACCCUGACAUGUUAUCAAUCAUGUCUUCUACAGGCAAUAAAGUUAAAUAAAAAAAAAUACUUAAUUAUAGUAUAAGUGAAGUAUUACACAUUGGCUUAAUGAAGGAGUUAGGAGUAACAGUGGUCCUUUGCGUUAUUCGAUUUGUCUGUGGUAGGCAGCAAGAAUCAAAUUCCUCUCAACACCUUUCAAAAAUGAUUUCUGCUAUUUUUAAUUCUAUACCUUCUAAAGUUUGAUUGCACUUCAGCGUUUUUCAGUUUCCACGAAGUUUCAAUAAUUGACGCUAGCUAGCAUGGCAAUCCAAAGUUUUGUCCCGAAGCACAUUAACAA